rnacentral:rRNA from 1 species
CCCUGGCUCAGGAUGAACGCUGGCGGCGUGCCUAAUACAUGCAAGUCGAGCGAAUGGAUUAAGAGCUUGCUCUUAUGAAGUUAGCGGCGGACGGGUGAGUAACACGUGGGUAACCUACCCAUAAGACUGGGAUAACUCCGGGAAACCGGGGCUAAUACCGGAUAAUAUUUUGAACUGCAUAGUUCGAAAUUGAAAGGCGGCUUCGGCUGUCACUUAUGGAUGGACCCGCGUCGCAUUAGCUAGUUGGUGAGGUAACGGCUCACCAAGGCGACGAUGGUAGCCGACCUGAGAGGGUGAUCGGCCACACUGGGACUGAGACACGGCCCAGACUCCUACGGGAGGCAGCAGUAGGGAAUCUUCCGCAAUGGACGAAAGUCUGACGGAGCAACGCCGCGUGAGUGAUGAAGGCUUUCGGGUCGUAAAACUCUGUUGUUAGGGAAGAACAAGUGCUAGUUGAAUAAGCUGGCACCUUGACGGUACCUAACCAGAAAGCCACG